AAGCCAGAGUUCUAAGCCACUGUUUUGAGUUACUUUUCGUUGAGGUUUCUCCUCUGAUGUGUGCUGCACACAUUAAUAAAUUUGUUUUUCUCUUGUUAAUCUGUCUUUUGUUACAGUGGCCUGUCCAAACAGGAACUCUCAUGGGUUGAGAAAAAAAAUUUUUCCUUCCUGACAGUUUUUGGCAAUGCAGAUGGAACUUUCUGGGAUACCCCAUCCACUCUGGAACCUGCAGAUGAAAUCCUAGCAAAACUGGCAGAAGCUGGUAAAAGAAAGAUUCAUGGAAACGACUCUGAGAAGUACAGGCUUCGGAUAACUUCAAGAUCAUACCAUUUGGCCGGAAAUGCCUCUUAUUAAAUCACCAUAUAGAGGCCUAACUUUGAUGAGAGCUCACCUGCAAUAUCUCCUGAAAUGAGACACAACUGCUUAAUUGAAUUGACCUAUUCUCAGCACUAAGACAAUGAUUUGAUAUGGGGCAAUGUACUUAAAUUUGUUCAGUUGCACUUGUUCCAAUCUAUGUUUUUCUCUUCCUUUGCCAAUCUCUGAUCUCACAAUCUCUAAUCCAAAUCUCUUCAAAGCUACCAACUUGGAGAGUUCUAAGCCACCAUUUUGAGUUACUUUGUGUUGUGGUUUCUCCCGCAUUGUGUGCUGCACAUAUUAAUAAACUCGUUUUUCUCUUAUUAAUCUGUCUUUUGUUACGGGGUCUGUCUCAACUAAAAACUCAUGAGGGUUGAGGAAAAAAUUAGUUUUCCUCCCUGACAGUACUUAACACAGAAAUGGCCUUCACUAUUCAAUUU